GGCGCUUUUGGUUUUGGUUUUGUUUCGGUGAGGCAAGAUUAAAGUUUCUGAAGAUGAUGAUGAAAAAUAUGAUAUUUGUAAUUUACCAUUUAUAAUCUAGUUUCUCCCCUCCCCCCCCAUAUAUAAAGCUGCACUUUCAAUAUUAGGGGUUUUCUCUCUAUAGCUGUAUUGUAAGUUAAAGUGAGCAGAGAUUUGCAGCUUGGAGUACAGUAUUUCUCACCUACUGCUGUAUUACUUGUUGGUAGCCUGGAUCCUGGUUUCUUCUCUUUUUUUCCCUAGGAGCUGCCUUGUCUUUCUGAAGUGCUUUUUGCUGUGCGAUAGUCACCUAUAUGAAAUUCUUUGCACAAAUUCACAGUGAAUCGUGUGUCAAAUUCUAGUUUUCUUCCUUCUCGAACAGGGAUUUUCUUUCUACCUACACUGGGCUGUUGCUGCUGCUUCCUUUUUUCUCUCUGGUGCUCAGCUGAUAUUACUGAAGUUUUGCAACAGGCUUUGAGGACUGGGAAGCUCUUCAGAUGUCAAGUCCGCUAUGCAAAAAGUUGAACAGAUCUGCUUAGUGGGAACCUUGUCAUCUUUGUUGUCCAGCAGUUUAAUGUCAGUCGCAAUGAAAUGCAAGAACUAGCACCUGAACCCUGCUGUAUCCAAGGAUGUAUCCUAAAGCACACUGCCUUGUUUUCCAGCCUCAGCUGUGCUUACUUCACAUCCAUACCAUGCAUAUGUUCAGCAUGCUGCCUGUCCAGUCGCAAGGCAGCCUGUUUCCAACAGCACCAUACCUACUGCAGAGUGUGCUGAGCUCUACUUCACCCACCCAAUCAAUGCUGAGAAACAGGAAAGAAAUGUCAGGUAAUUCCUAGGGCUUCUGAACUAUUGCUUCAUAAAAGGCAUUAUUUUCUCCCAUUGUCUGCCAGGUUAGUUUUCAUGGUGCUGAGAGGCUUUACAGAUCAAGCUGAAGUGUUCAUGGCCUUGCCAUACCAGGCCUGAAGGGAAGUAUGAUACUGCAUUGAGGGUGAUAAGGAAUGGGGAUGUGAAGGGAAAUUUGUCAGUGAAAAAUGCAGAGUUUGAAUAUCCUUAUGUUCCAUGUAGAAACAAACAGUACUGGUGUCACAGCUCUGUACGAGGAGGCAUCAGUAAAACACAUAGCCAUUUUAUUUUCCCUAGUUUAAAGUGUUUGCAGGGAUCUGGGAGGGGCACAGCUGCUUUGAGGCUCUCCAAUACCAGAGACACAAGGCUUGUGGAAUAGUUUAUUUAUCUGGUGAAAUGGUGCACAAGGUUU